rnacentral:rRNA from 1 species
UACGUAGGGUGCGAGCGUUUAAUCGGAAUUACUGGGCGUAAAGCGUGCGCAGGCGGCGCGUUAAGACAGGUGUGAAAGCCCCCGAGCUUAACUUGGGAAUUGCGCUUGUGACUGGCGGGCUGGAGUGUGGCAGAGGGAGGUGGAAUUCCACGUGUAGCAGUGAAAUGCGUAGAGAUGUGGAGGAACACCGAUGGCGAAGGCAGCCUCCUGGGCCAGCACUGACGCUCAUGCACGAAAGCGUGGGGAGCAAACAGGA